rnacentral:tmRNA from 1 species
GGGGCUGACAGGUAUCGACGGGAUGUAGAGUGAAGGUGUAAGCAUGCAGAGCUUUGGUUUCCAUGCUCUUUAAAAUCGGAAAUCAAACAACAACUGGCGAAAAUAACUUCGCUAUGGCUGCCUAAUCCGGAGGAUUACGCAAAUGCCAUCCGUUUCGGUCGGGUCUAUCUGACAGCCUGAUCAACACGAAACGGUCGACCAUGUCGGGUAUUCAGCAGGGAUAGUUUCGACCUGCUUGUCUUACCAGAAGCAUAAGGAAAAGCUCAGGCGGUGGUAGUCCGUACUUUUCCCGACAACAAGUACCACUAAGCAUGUAGAAAGCGCCAUUUAUUCCUUCUCCGGACCCGGGUUCAAAUCCCGGCAGCUCCACUA